rnacentral:rRNA from 1 species
GGGUUGUGAGGUUAAGCGACUAAGCCGUACACGGUGGAUGCCCUGGCAGUCAGAGGCGAUGAAGGACGUGCUAAUCUGCGAAAAGCGUCGGUAAGGUGAUAUGAACCGUUAUAACCGGCGAUGUCCGAAUGGGGAAACCCAGUGUGAUUCGUCACACUAUCGUUAACUGAAUACAUAGGUUAACGAGGCGAACCGGGGGAACUGAAACAUCUAAGUACCCCGAGGAAAAGAAAUCAACCGAGAUUCCCCCAGUAGCGGCGAGCGAACGGGGAGCAGCCCAGAGUCUGAAUCAGCUUGUGUGUUAGUGGAACGGUCUGGAAAGUCCGACGGUACAGGGUGAUAGUCCCGUACACCAAAAUGCACAGGCUGUGAACUCGAAGAGUAGGGCGGGACACGUGGUAUCCUGUCUGAAUAUGGGGGGACCAUCCUCCAAGGCUAAAUACUCCUGACUGACCGAUAGUGAACCAGUACCGUGAGGGAAAGGCGAAAAGAACCCCGGCGAGGGGAGUGAAAAAGAACCUGAAACCGUGUACGUACAAGCAGUGGGAGCACCUUCGGGUGUGACUGCGUACCUUUUGUAUAAUGGGUCAGCGACUUAUAUUCUGUAGCAAGGUUAACCGUAUAGGGGAGCCGCAGGGAAACCGAGUCUUAACUGGGCGUUAAGUUGCAGGGUAUAGACCCGAAACCCGGUGAUCUAGCCAUGGGCAGGUUGAAGGUUGGGUAACACUAACUGGAGGACCGAACCGACUAAUGUUGAAAAAUUAGCGGAUGACUUGUGGCUGGGGGUGAAAGGCCAAUCAAACCGGGAGAUAGCUGGUUCUCCCCGAAAGCUAUUUAGGUAGCGCCUCGUGAACUCAUCUUCGGGGGUAGAGCACUGUUUCGGCUAGGGGGUCAUCCCGACUUACCAACCCGAUGCAAACUACGAAUACCGAAGAAUGUUAUCACGGGAGACACACGGCGGGUGCUAACGUCCGUCGUGAAGAGGGAAACAACCCAGACCGCCAGCUAAGGUCCCAAAGUCAUGGUUAAGUGGGAAACGAUGUGGGAAGGCACAGACAGCCAGGAUGUUGGCUUAGAAGCAGCCAUCAUUUAAAGAAAGCGUAAUAGCUCACUGGUCGAGUCGGCCUGCGCGGAAGAUGUAACGGGGCUAAACCAUGCACCGAAGCUGCGGCAGCGACACUAUGUGUUGUUGGGUAGGGGAGCGUUCUGUAAGCCUGCGAAGGUGUGCUGUGAGGCAUGCUGGAGGUAUCAGAAGUGCGAAUGCUGACAUAAGUAACGAUAAAGCGGGUGAAAAGCCCGCUCGCCGGAAGACCAAGGGUUCCUGUCCAACGUUAAUCGGGGCAGGGUGAGUCGACCCCUAAGGCGAGGCCGAAAGGCGUAGUCGAUGGGAAACAGGUUAAUAUUCCUGUACUUGGUGUUACUGCGAAGGGGGGACGGAGAAGGCUAUGUUAGCCGGGCGACGGUUGUCCCGGUUUAAGCAUGUAGGCUGGUUAUCCAGGCAAAUCCGGAUAAUCAAGGCUGAGGUGUGAUGACGAGGCACUACGGUGCUGAAGUAACAAAUGCCCUGCUUCCAGGAAAAGCCUCUAAGCAUCAGGUAACAUCAAAUCGUACCCCAAACCGACACAGGUGGUCAGGUAGAGAAUACCAAGGCGCUUGAGAGAACUCGGGUGAAGGAACUAGGCAAAAUGGUGCCGUAACUUCGGGAGAAGGCACGCUGGUGUGUAGGUGAAGUCCCUGCGGAUGGAGCUGAGACCAGUCGAAGAUACCAGCUGGCUGCAACUGUUUAUUAAAAACACAGCACUGUGCAAACACGAAAGUGGACGUAUACGGUGUGACGCCUGCCCGGUGCCGGAAGGUUAAUUGAUGGGGUUAUCCGUAAGGAGAAGCUCUUGAUCGAAGCCCCGGUAAACGGCGGCCGUAACUAUAACGGUCCUAAGGUAGCGAAAUUCCUUGUCGGGUAAGUUCCGACCUGCACGAAUGGCGUAAUGAUGGCCAGGCUGUCUCCACCCGAGACUCAGUGAAAUUGAACUCGCUGUGAAGAUGCAGUGUACCCGCGGCAAGACGGAAAGACCCCGUGAACCUUUACUAUAGCUUGACACUGAACAUUGAGCCUUGAUGUGUAGGAUAGGUGGGAGGCUUUGAAGCGUGGACGCCAGUCUGCGUGGAGCCAACCUUGAAAUACCACCCUUUAAUGUUUGAUGUUCUAACGUUGGCCCCUGACCGGGGUUGCGGACAGUGUCUGGUGGGUAGUUUGACUGGGGCGGUCUCCUCCCAAAGCGUAACGGAGGAGCACGAAGGUUAGCUAAUCCUGGUCGGACAUCAGGAGGUUAGUGCAAUGGCAUAAGCUAGCUUGACUGCGAGCGUGACGGCGCGAGCAGGUGCGAAAGCAGGUCAUAGUGAUCCGGUGGUUCUGAAUGGAAGGGCCAUCGCUCAACGGAUAAAAGGUACUCCGGGGAUAACAGGCUGAUACCGCCCAAGAGUUCAUAUCGACGGCGGUGUUUGGCACCUCGAUGUCGGCUCAUCACAUCCUGGGGCUGAAGUAGGUCCCAAGGGUAUGGCUGUUCGCCAUUUAAAGUGGUACGCGAGCUGGGUUUAGAACGUCGUGAGACAGUUCGGUCCCUAUCUGCCGUGGGCGCUGGAGAAUUGAGGGGGGCUGCUCCUAGUACGAGAGGACCGGAGUGGACGCAUCACUGGUGUUCGGGUUGUCAUGCCAAUGGCACUGCCCGGUAGCUAAAUGCGGAAGAGAUAAGUGCUGAAAGCAUCUAAGCACGAAACUUGCCCCGAGAUGAGUUCUCCCUGAGACAUAAGUCUCCUGAAGGAACGUUGAAGACGACGACGUUGAUAGGCCGGGUGUGUAAGCGCAGCGAUGCGUUGAGCUAACCGGUACUAAUGAACCGUGAGGCUUAACCUUACAACGCCGAAG